rnacentral:lncRNA from 1 species
CCAGGGAUCGGUACGGCGCAGUCGCAAGGACUCCGGCUUUGCAAACUGUUGAAUCCGACGUCGACGCAGCUACCCGUGCUGCUAGGGUCGCCUCUGGGUGAUCCUGGACAAAGGGGGCCGCUGUAAGAACCUUCCCUGGUUCUUGAACUCCCAGAAUUGGCAGGGAAAUUAAACGCCCGCCAUCUGUUCGAAGUUCCCACCUGGUGCCUGCAACCUUCUUGCAGGUGGAUCCCGCCAGAGAUUGAGCAAAAUUGGGUCUGCAAAAGGUAACCGGUUCAAAUUUAUUAGCAAAACAAUGGCCGAAGGAACCCGUUUGAAGUUGCUUGAUGAACACGUUCAUGCACUGGAGCAACAAAUGCAAGAGUUAGCGGCAGGGACUGAGAGGAAAUUUGAAUCACUUACAAGUCGUAUGGAGGCGAUACGUAUGGAAGGACAAUCUCAUUAUGAUGAUUGGAAGAAGGACUCUGCAAACACCUCAAAGAAGCUUGAACAGAUUAUGGAUCUAUUGGUGAACAUACCACAGACUACAUCCAUCAGAGGAGCUACAUCUUCAAUUAGUAUAGAUGAACGAGGUAUAUUGCCAACCCCACCUAUUUCUCACACAAAGGAAGAUAAUCAUAUACAACCUACCAUAAAUCGAUCAGGGUUCCAAUUUCCAUUUCCCAAGUUAGAAUUUCCUAUAUUCAUGAAUGACAAUCCGAGAAGUUGGGUGAGAAAGUGUGAGAGAUAUUUUGAAUUCUAUAGUAUUAAGGAACAUCAGAAAAUGGAGUUAGUAGCCAUGCACUUGGAUGAUAAGGCUGAUACCUGGUUUCAAGGGUAUUUAGCAGAAAAGCGGAUGGUCCAUUGGGCAGAUUUUUUCGAAGAAAUCUGCAGGCGGUUUGAUACGAGAGGAUCGGUGGACGUCGUGGAGGAAUUUAACAAACUGGUGCAAACAGGGACAGUGGAGGAGUAUCAAGAGCAAUUUGAGGAUUUAAAGGCACGACUGCUUACUACUGAUUCUCAAUUCUCCGUGGACUAUUUCCUCUCGAGCUUCCUGAGUGGACUAAAAGAUGAGAUCAGAUCUGCUGUCAAGAUGUUAUAUCCACGAACCUUGACUCAGGCAUUCGAACAAGCCAAACUACAAGAACAGACCAUAGCAGCAAUGAUGAAAAAGAGUAAACAAAUGCUUCGAUUACAAGGGAUCACCAAUUCUCCAAGCAACUACAAGGGAAUGGGUUCGGCAACAUCUGGAAGGUACUCCGACACCGCCAGGAACCAACCCAAGUUCACUACAGAGAAAGCAUUCCCUAACCGGCAAUUAAUCGAGCAGAGAAGAGCCGCUGGUCUCUGUUUCAAAUGUGGGGAUAAGUACAGUCUUGGCCAUACCUGUAAGCCGCAAGCAAUGAAUGCCAUACAAGCAAACCCAGGGGUGACAGAAGUAUAUGAUGAGAUCAGUUUGCAGGAGAUAGAAGGAGAAAAGAGGAUUGAAGUUGAAGAAGAAGAAGAAUUGGGGUUAUCAGUUCACGCCUUGAGUGCUGAGGAUAGCCAAGAUACCAUAAAAAUACAAGGAGAGAACAAGGGUAAGACUUUAUCCAUCCUUGUGGACACUGGGAGCACUCAUAGUUUUAUUGACAUUGGGGUAGCUAAAGAGACCAAGGCUGACAUUGCAACUACUACACCACUCUUGGUAACAGUAGCUAAUGGUCAAAAGGUGUUGAGUAAGCUCAAAUGCACCAAUUAUGUCUGGGAAAUGCAAGGUGAAAAGUAUUCGGCAGACCUGCGAGUGAUACGGCUUGAAGGGUCUAGCAUGAUCUUAGGGAUUGACUGGUUGAGAGUGCAUGGUCCAGUCACCUUCGAUUAUGAAAUUAACACGGUUAUCAUUACAAAGGGUGACAAGAAAAUCCACUUAAAAGGGAUGCCUUACAAGGCAGGAUUGCGAAACAUUACAGCCAAACAGUUACAGCAUGAACUUCAAGAGGGCAGUUGCUAUGCAGUGGCACAGUGGAUACCUCCAGAGGAAGGGAAGGAGGAACACAUACCUGAGACUAUUCAAAUGGUUUUGCAAGAGUAUUGGGAUAUAUUCCAAGAGCCUCAAGGGUUGCCCCCGACUAGAAACCAGGAUCACAAAAUAACGCUGCUGCCUGAUUCUCAACCAGUUAAUAUCAGACCUUAUAGAUACACUUUUGAACAAAAGAAUGAGAUGGAGAGGCAGAUUCGAGAGAUGCUGAACACAGGAAUUAUUCAACCCAGCCAUAGCCCCUACGCCUCACCUGUUCUCUUGGUCAGGAAGAAGGACGGGACCUGGAGGUUUUGCGUCGACUAUCGGCAAUUGAAUAAGCUCACUGUGAAGGACAAAUACCCAAUUCCAAUUAUCGAAGACUUAUUAGAUGAACUGGGAAGGGCUAAAUAUUUCUCUAAGAUUGAUUUGAGGUCAAGGUAUCAUCAAAUCCGAAUGCACCCAAACAACAUAUCGAAAACAGCC